rnacentral:lncRNA from 1 species
CUCUCGCCGGGAGCAGCAUAUCGCCUCCACCGUGAGUUUUCCCGGUUAUUCUCUGUUUGAUUUCGCUCGGCAGAUAUGUGCUCGGUUGUGCAUGUGCAUAAAUCAUAAUCUCUUUUGAAAGUCUUAACGUUUUUUUUUGGUUGGAGCUAAUCGAUGGGUUGGUUCUUAGGGGUUUACUAUGAUAUUGGUGAAAAAACGUUAUUGUCUGAUGUUGUAAGCGAUUAACUGAUCUGUUGACUUGUUUUAAAAAACUUGUUUUACUAGUUUGCUUGCUUCGUAAUUUUGAAGUGUCACAUGAGGAAUUAAUGAUUUUUGUUUCCAUUAGAAAUUAGGUAAACGCAGGACGUUUUGUUUUUGCAGGACUUCUGAAGAAUUGGUAGAAGUCGAAGCAGAACUGGUUGGUUUUACAGUGUUGCUUCUGCAUCGGCCUGAGAACAGACUAUCGCAACUGCCAAACUGUUGAUAUGGACUUCUUGGAUAAUGUUAACUGUGUUGUCUACCGGCAUACCUGGUAUUAUACCUUCAUCAACACCUGAACCACAUACUCCAUCUUGUUUAAUUUGGCGUUGUGUAGUAUCACUCUGUAAGAUGGAUCCAUUUUCAUUUAUUUCCUGAGCCGGAGCAAAUGUAAA